rnacentral:rRNA from 1 species
AGACGGAGGGUGCAAACGUUGUUCGGAAUCACUGGGCAUAAAGCGCACGUAGGCGGUCCGCUAAGUCAGGUGUGAAAUCCCCCGGCCUAACCGGGGAACUGCACAUGAAACUGGCGGGCUUGAGGACGGUAGGGGUGAGUGGAACUCCAGGUGGAGCGGUGAAAUGCGUAGAUAUCUGGAGGAACACCGGUGGCGAAAGCGGCUCACUGGACCGUCUCUGACGCUGAGGUGCGAAAGCGUGGGGAGCAAACCGAAUUAGAAACCCCAGUAGUCC